rnacentral:rRNA from 1 species
AGUCAAGUAAUUAAGUGCAUGUGGUGGAUGCCUUGGCAGUCAGAGGCGAUGAAAGACGUGAUAGCCUGCGAAAAGCUCCGGGGAGGCGGCAAAUAUCCUUUGAUCCGGAGAUGUCUGAAUGGGGGAACCCACCUACUUUAAGGUAGGUAUUGCAACAUGAAUACAUAGUGUUGCAAGGCGAACGAGGGGAAGUGAAACAUCUCAGUACCCUUAGGAAAAGAAAUCAAUUGAGAUUCCCUCAGUAGCGGCGAGCGAACGGGGAUCAGCCCAUUAAGUUAUGUGUGUUUUAGUGGAACGCUCUGGGAAGUGCGAACGUAGAGGGUGAUAUUCCCGUACACGAAAGGGCACACAUAAUGAUGACGAGUAGGGCGAGGCACGUGAAACCUUGUCUGAAUAUGGGGGGACCAUCCUCCAAGGCUAAAUACUCCUGACUGACCGAUAGUGAACCAGUACCGUGAGGGAAAGGCGAAAAGAACCCCUGUGAGGGGAGUGAAAUAGAUCCUGAAACCGCAUGCAUACAAGCAGUGGGAGCACCUUCGUGGUGUGACUGCGUACCUUUUGUAUAAUGGGUCAGCGACGACUUAUAUAUUCAGUAGCGAGGUUAACCGUAUAGGGGAGCCGUAGAGAAAUCGAGUCUUAAUAGGGCGUUUAGUUGCUGGGUAUAGACCCGAAACCAGGCGAUCUAUCCAUGAGCAGGUUGAAGGUUGGGUAACACUAACUGGAGGACCGAACCCACUGUCGUUGAAAAAGCCAGGGGAUGACUUGUGGAUAGGGGUGAAAGGCUAAUCAAGCCUGGUGAUAGCUGGUUCUCCCCGAAAGCUAUUUAGGUAGCGCCUCGGACGAAUACCAGGGGGUAGAGCACUGUUUCGGCUAGGGGGUCAUCCCGACUUACCAAACCGAUGCAAACUCCGAAUACCUAUGAGUACUAUCCGGGAGACAGACUGCGGGUGCUAACGUCCGUAGUCAAGAGGAAAACAAUCCAGACCGCCAGCUAAGGCCCCAAAAUCAUAGUUAAGUGGGAAACGAUGUGGGAAGGCAUAGACAGCUAGGAGGUUGGCUUAGAAGCAGCCACCCUUUAAAGAAAGCGUAAUAGCUCACUAGUCGAGUCGGCCUGCGCGGAAGAUGUAACGGGGCUAAAACUAUGUGCCGAAGCUGCGGAUGUAUACUUUGUAUACGUGGUAGGGGAGCGUUCUGUAAGCCGAUGAAGGUGUGUUGAGAAGCAUGCUGGAGGUAUCAGAAGUGCGAAUGCUGACGUGAGUAACGACAAAACGGGUGAAAAACCCGUUCGCCGAAAGACCAAGGGUUCCAGUCCAACGUUAAUCGGGGCUGGGUGAGUCGACCCCUAAGGCGAGGCCGAAAGGCGUAGUCGAUGGGAAAAUGGUUAAUAUUCCAUUACUUCUGUGUAAUGCGAUGAGAGGACGGAGAAGGCUAAAUCAGCCUGGCGUUGGUUGUCCAGGUGAAAGGAUGUAGGCAUGUAUCUUAGGCAAAUCCGGGGUACUCUAUGCUGAGAUCUGAUAGCAAGCUGUACUUGUACAGCGAAGUGGUUGAUGCCAUGCUUCCAGGAAAAGUCUCUAAGCUUCAGUUACACAGGAAUCGUACCCGAAACCGACACAGGUGGUCAGGUCGAGUAGACCAAGGCGCUUGAGAGAACUCUGCUGAAGGAACUAGGCAAAAUGGUACCGUAACUUCGGGAGAAGGUACGCUGUUGUUGGUGAUGGAACUCGCUUCCUGAGCUGACGACAGCCGGCAGAAACCAGGCCGCUGCAACUGUUUAUUAAAAACAUAGCACUCUGCAAACACGAAAGUGGACGUAUAGGGGUGUGAUGCCUGCCCGGUGCUGGAAGGUUAAUUGAUGGGGUUAGCGUAAGCGAAGCUCUUGAUCGAAGCCCCAGUAAACGGCGGCCGUAACUAUAACGGUCCUAAGGUAGCGAAAUUCCUUGUCGGGUAAGUUCCGACCUGCACGAAUGGCAUAAUGAUGGCGGCGCUGUCUCCAGCAGAGGCUCAGUGAAAUCGAAAUCGCUGUGAAGAUGCAGUGUACCCGCGGCUAGACGGAAAGACCCCGUGAACCUUUACUGCAGCUUGACACUGAACUUUGACCUUACUUGUGUAGGAUAGGUGGGAGGCUUUGAAGCUGGAACGCUAGUUCCAGUGGAGCCGUCCUUGAAAUACCACCCUGGUAAUGUUGAGGUUCUAACUCUGUCCCGUGAUCCGGGACGAGGACCGUGUCUGGUGGGUAGUUUGACUGGGGCGGUCUCCUCCUAAAGAGUAACGGAGGAGUACGAAGGUGCGCUCAGCGUGGUCGGAAAUCACGCGUAGAGUUUAUAAAGGCAAAAGCGCGCUUAACUGCGAGACCCACAAGUCGAGCAGGUACGAAAGUAGGUCUUAGUGAUCCGGUGGUUCUGUAUGGAAGGGCCAUCGCUCAACGGAUAAAAGGUACUCUGGGGAUAACAGGCUGAUACCGCCCAAGAGUUCAUAUCGACGGCGGUGUUUGGCACCUCGAUGUCGGCUCAUCUCAUCCUGGGGCUGAAGCAGGUCCCAAGGGUAUGGCUGUUCGCCAUUUAAAGAGGUACGCGAGCUGGGUUUAGAACGUCGUGAGACAGUUCGGUCCCUAUCUACCGUGGGCGCUGGAAAUUUGAGAGGAUCUGCUCCUAGUACGAGAGGACCAGAGUGGACGAACCUCUGGUGUACCGGUUGUGACGCCAGUCGCAUCGCCGGGUAGCUAUGUUCGGAAGGGAUAACCGCUGAAAGCAUCUAAGCGGGAAGCCUACCUCAAGAUAAGAUUUCCCUAGGACUUUAUGUCCUCUAAAGAGCCGUUCGAGACUAGGACGUUGAUAGGUUGGAUGUGGAAGCAUAGUGAUAUGUGAAGCUGACCAAUACUAAUUGCUCGUGAGGCUUGACUAU